AUUUCUGGCACUUAUGUGUGGGUGUGGGGAGCUACUACGUACCCGGCUUAAAGAACUGGAAGGCUCCGUCACUUUUCGCCCCCUGGAGCCUGGAGCUUGGAGCCUGGAGCCUGGGGCACUCCCUCCCUGUUGGUGGUGGUGGUGACGGAGCGGUAGGAGGGAGGCUAGCAGCGAGAGCUUCUCCUGCCGGGCUGGAAGACAGAAAGAAGAGGCACCGCCGCGUGCUGGAGGCUGGAGCCGGAGCUUGCGCCUCCGCGGCUCGCCUCGCUGCGGUUGGUGGUGAAAUCAGAGACCGCAGCUCGGCCACAGUGGUAGAAAUGUGGUAGGGUAGGUUUCUCUGGCUUUGCCUGCGCAACUGCUCCCAGCCAGGCUGGAGGAGGAGGAGGAGUCACCUGUGGUAUGCUGGAGCCUGUAGAUGGCGUGGCUCUGCAGCUUGCCUCAUGAGGUUGGUGGCAGCAACAGAGACUGCAGCUUGACCAGAGUGGUAGGAGGGCACCCGUGGGGGCCAAGUGAUAGGAGCCUUGUAGGGUGGGCUGGUGCAUUGAGGGCAACAGCGGUUGUACUGGCAUCGGCGCUAGCGUUGGUAGCAGCGGCAAGUCUGGGGGCUGGGAAGGGGAGUAGGAGCGCUCACUUGCCCAUCCUGUCCUGGGGUGGGGACGAACCUUAAGGUGCUAUAAUGCGGGCCUCAGUGGCAGUGGUGGAGGUGCAUGUAGGGUAAGGAGGAGUCUUCCUCCUUGUCCUGCAAUCUCUGGAGGGUGCCCUCCUCCUGCUGGCGCCUGAGCCAGGCAUGAGUGGCAGCAUUGUCUAAUUCUUAACAAAAUUCAGGGGGUGACUUUUUGUGUAUCUUUUCGCUUGUUUUUUGUUGUGAUACUCUUGGACUUAACUCAAAUUUCAUGAAUCGAGGAAAGGAUAAAAGGUAUAAUAGGCCUUCUAAUUCACGCACCUGUUCUUUUUCCUUUCUUCCAGUCUGUAUUUUCUUCUUCUUGUUCCUCUUCAUUUUCUUUUGCUGCUGCUGCUUCUAUUUGAUGUUUCUAUUCUUGUUUCUCCUCUUUUUGUUUUCUUUAUGCCAAGCAAUGACCUUAAACAACAAGCCCAAACUGAGUGAAAAAUAAACUUGUCACUGUGAUGUAUUUUUAAAAUAACUGGUCCCUUACUAUGUUUUAGAGAUGAGGAAACAAAUAAGUCGUAUAAUUAGUUGAAUAGCUAUGAUUUCAUUAUUGUGUUAACCCACUUAGGCCUAGUGUUCCAUUAUUGGAACGCUAAGCAUGUGGGAGUUACUUAUACUGCUCAAGGUCAUUGACAAGGUCUGAUUUUUCACUCAUGCAAAAAUUCAAAAAAUUGCAACCUCUGGCAUAAAUGGGCUAAUGAGUUGUAAGUAGUUAUCCAAGGAACCAAAAAGUGAAGCAUCACAUAAGAUAUUGGUAGCAAAAGGCCAUUUCAUCUCUCUCAAAUAUUUGUCUGGAGCUAUGUAAGAGUCACUGGGGUAAUAAGUUCUAAUUUAUGAGAUUAUUAAGUGAACCAUAUUCCCUUCAUUUUAUUUCUCUGCAACCAUUUUGAAGAGUAUCAUCAUCUGCAUGAGCAAACCUGGUUCAUCACCACAUUUUUGCAAGAGGCAAAUGAAGGGGGGAGAAUCAUGUGUAUAAUUUUGCAAGGCAGAGAUUCACUACCAAAAACAAGGCUUUAUUAACUUUUGCCUUUAAGAACCUGCAGUGUUGAGCUCUCUUUUAAUCGUAGUAUUACUACCUUUGGUAUGAACUCUUUUUUUUUUUAAACUGAUUACUCUAGAAGUUUAUGCAUUUUCUUAGCUGCCUUAAAGACAAUCUAUAUUGUAUCAUUUUUCAAGCCCACAGAAAUGUGUAAGGCCUAUAAUUCUGACACUUUCAGUUAUUUUUAAGGUUAUGAGCAUGUGAAAUACUGUUGAUAUAUGGAAGAAUGUGUGUAAAUACCACUAGAUAGCUUAUUUUGAAGAGAUAGUAUCUAAAUUUUUGUCCAGAGUAGAUUGGUUGCAGUUUCUUAAGUUUGUUUGUCAAUACAUUUCCUCAAUGUUUUAAACCAUAUAGAAAUUUGAAUACGUUUAACCUCAUAUAGCCCUUUAUUUAUAGGUUUAAUAUUUCUAAAGACUAAGGACAUCACAGCCUCCUUUAAGAUUCAGUAAUAAUAAAAUUUGAGAUAUGUAGGAUUAGAAUCCAACAAAUUCAGAGGAAAAUUGUUAAAUUAUAUAGCUGUAGAGCAGGAAUGAAACCCAGAUUCUAAGCUCUAAGGGGGCCAUGAGCUACCAUACAGGUGCAUCCGUGACUGGGCAUAGAGUCGGCAAAAUUACAGGAUGGUUAAGAGAGUGAGCUGUGGAGCCUGACUCUAUGUGAACAUGAAUUUUUAAACCGCAUGGUGCCUCAGUUUAUCCACCUUUACAGUAGGGACAGUAGUAAGUUCUUUUUUUGCUCAGUUGUCUGGAUUAUUUCCCUAAUCUUUCUUGUUGCCACUCUUGAUGCCCACAUGAGAGAAUCUAAGGUAAUUUCUGAUAGCCUGAGACUGCUGAAGGAAAAACAGAAGGUGCCACAAACCCAUUUUAGGAGAAACCUCUGUUUUCCUCAUGGAACCCCAAGAACUUUAAGCAGACAGGUCCCUCUCAAAAUCUAAGGCUCUCCUGUUUUGCCUUGCAUUAUCUGACCUUUUUGGUUUGAGUGGGCAUCAGAAAUUAGUAGAGGGAAGAGAUCUAAAGAAAGUUGUGGAUAUGAAGAUGUAUUUAUGGUAAGAAAUAUUAUGAAGGAAAGAAAUGUUAUGUGAGAGAGGAUCUUGUAUGGCAAAUUCUUGUCCUAAAGUAGAAUGACUAAUCACAACAGAGGGAAAUACAGGACAAGUCACAAAGUUAAAUCAUGUCCUAGAUGGUCUGUGGAAGUUGUGUUAGGGUUCAUAAAAUGUGAAAGAAAAACUUACAACUGCUAGAUCGUGUCCUGUCCAGAAGUGUUGUGUAUGUGAUGUAUAUAUAAAGGAGCUCUAAGUACUCGACUUAACAGAAAAUGAAAGCUCUUAAAUAUUUUGUCAGAAAAACAGAGGCUCUAAUGCCUUUUAUUUCACAUGACUUCACUAAUCUUUGGAAAAUAAAGACGGUGUUAAAAUCAUUGGUAGAAUAAAAAUAUCUUCAAAAUCUA